rnacentral:rRNA from 1 species
UUAGAGUUUGAUCCUGCCUCAGGACGAACGCUGGCGGCGUGCUUAACACAUGCAAGUCGAGCGAUGAAAUUCUCUUCGGAGAAUGGAUUAGCGGCGGACGGGUGAGUAACACGUGGGUAACCUGCCUUAUAGUGGGGGAUAGCCUUUCGAAAGGAAGAUUAAUACCGCAUAAUAUUGUAGCUUCGCAUGAAGCAACAAUUAAAGAUUUAUCGCUAUAAGAUGGACCCGCGGCGCAUUAGCUAGUCGGUAAGGUAAUGGCUUACCAAGGCAACGAUCAGUAGCCGGCCUGAGAGGGUGAACGGCCACACUGGAACUGAGACACGGUCCAGACUCCUACGGGAGGCAGCAGUGGGGAAUUUUGCACAAUGGGGGAAACCCUGAUGCAGCGACGUCGCGUGAACGAUGAAGGCCUUCGGGUUGUAAAGUUCUGUCCUUGGCGAAGAUAAUGACAGUAGCCAAGAAGCAAGCCCCGGCUAAAUACGUGCCAGCAGCCGCGGUAAUACGUAUGGGGCGAGCGUUGUCCGGAAUUAUUGGGCGUAAAGGGUACGUAGGCGGUUAUGUGGGUCCGUAUUAAAAGGCAUUGGCUCAACCAAUGUUCGGUAUGGAAACUGCAUAACUUGAGUAGAUGAGGGGUAAGUGGAAUUCCUAGUGUAGCGGUGAAAUGCUUAGAUAUUAGGAGGAAUACCAGUGGCGAAGGCGACUUACUGGAAUCUAACUGACGCUGAGGUACGAAAGCGUGGGGAGCAAACAGGAUUAGAUACCCUGGUAGUCCACGCUGUAAACGAUGAGUGCUAGGUGUCGGGAGUCAAAUCUCGGCGCCGCCGCUAACGCA